rnacentral:rRNA from 1 species
GUCCACGCCGUAACGAUGGAUACUAGCUGUUCGGAGCAAUCUGAGUGGCUAAGCGAAGUGAUAAGUAUCCCACCUGGGAGUACGCACGCAAGUGUGAACUCAAAGGAAUUGACGGGGCCCGCACAAGCGGUGGAGCAUGUGGUUUAAUUCGAUGAUACGCGAGGAACCUUACCAGGGCUUAAAUGUAGAUUGACAGGACUGGAAACAGUUUUCUUCGGACAAUUUACAAGGUGCUGCAUGGUUGUCGU